GUAACAAUAGUAUAAAUAGUAUAUUUGUUUUCCAUGCAAAAGGCCCAUGUGUAUCGGGUUGUUAUA
rnacentral:tRNA from 1 species